rnacentral:tRNA from 1 species
GAGUCUAUAGCUUAAAGGUUAGAGCAUACGCUUGAUAAGCGUAAGGUUGACUGUUCAAGUCAGUCUAGACUCA